rnacentral:rRNA from 1 species
CCUACGGGAGGCAGCAGUGGGGAAUAUUGCACAAUGGGGGAAACCCUGAUGCAGCGACGCCGCGUGAGUGAAGAAGUAUUUCGGUAUGUAAAGCUCUAUCAGCAGGGAAGAAAGAUACGAUAGCUGCUGACCAAGCCGCGGCGAACUACGUCGCAGCAGCCGCCGUCAUACGUCGGGGGCAAGCGUUAUCCGGAUUUACUGGGGGUAAAGGGAGCGUAGACGGCAGCGCAAGUCUGGAGUGAAAUGCCGGGGCCCAACCCCGGAACUGCUUUGGAAACUGUGCAGCUGGAGUGCAGGAGAGGAAAGUGGAAUUCCUAGUGUAGCGGUGAAAUGCGUAGAUAUUAGGAGGAACACCAGUGGCGAAGGCGGCUUACUGGACUGUAACUGACGUUGAGGCUCGAAAGCGUGGGGAGCAAACAGGAUUAGAUACCCCAGUAGUC